GUGAACGCUGGCGGUAGGCCUAACACAUGCAAGUCGAACGGCAGCACAGUAAGAGCUUGCUCUUACGGGUGGCGAGUGGCGGACGGGUGAGGAAUACAUCGGAAUCUACUUUUUCGUGGGGGAUAACGUAGGGAAACUUACGCUAAUACCGCAUACGACCUACGGGUGAAAGCAGGGGAUCUUCGGACCUUGCGCGAUUGAAUGAGCCGAUGUCGGAUUAGCUAGUUGGCGGGGUAAAGGCCCACCAAGGCGACGAUCCGUAGCUGGUCUGAGAGGAUGAUCAGCCACACUGGAACUAAGACACGGUCCAGACUCCUACGGGAGGCAGCAGUGGGGAAUAUUGGACAAUGGGCGCAAGCCUGAUCCAGCCAUACCGCGUGGGUGAAGAAGGCCUUCGGGUUGUAAAGCCCUUUUGUUGGGAAAGAAAAGCAGCAGGUUAAUACCCCGCUGUUCUGACGGUACCCAAAGAAUAAGCACCGGCUAACUUCGUG
rnacentral:rRNA from 1 species